GCCGCUGUGAGUCACUCUGAAACGCAACACAAUUAAAUACGAUCUCAGCGGGAUUAGCAGUCUGGGCCUAUCUGACGAUAUUGGUUUAUAUAAUACGAUGACAGCAGCUAACAGUAUAUAAAUCAAAGAUAAUGACAGCUGGGAGAAGGAGAAGCUGCUGGCAGACAGCAGAAGGAAGCAGAGUGUCUGCUGAGUGCUGACCGGAGUACAGUGAGGUCUUCUGGCUGUGUGAGCACAUAAACCUGCACUCAGUCCCGUCGUCCGCUUGGUGUGACAUCUCCUGGAAAGCGAAGGCUGACUGGUGAUGCAGAGUGAACCCCAGCCGGACGGACGGACGGAGGACGACUGUGAGGACGCCUUCUGACUCAGGAGAAGCCGACCAAUGAGGAGCCACCUGACCCUCCUGCUGGACUCCAGGUGAGAUUCAACAAAACACUUGACUGAAAUGAACUAAGAUUUCCUCAAGGAAAACAGAACUCCACAACUGAUUGGGAAACUAAAAUACCACACACUCAAUAUGUGAGCUAUAAUUCAACAAACAGUAGCAGGUGCCUUUUUGGACCCACUGUAACCAUGGUAACAUUGCAGUAAUUGGAAAAAUUGAUUUUUCUCAGGAAGUCUGAUGAAAGAGGAUAAACAGGAUGUCAUGAGUUCAUCUUUCUGUUAAAGUGUGACAUUUCAAACCCCGGGUACCAACAGAACUGUGGACAAGUUUAUUUGUUCCUCUUGUUUCGGUGUUUAAAUGACUUUAAAACACACCGCUUGUAGGUUCUGCUGCAGCGUGAUGAUGUUGAGAAGCAGCGUGGGAUCGUGGCAGCUGUCGUCUUCGUUGUUCCUGAUGAAAGUCUAUCAGAGCCGACUGUUUACAGACCAGGUAAACUUUUUAAUUCACGUUACGUUUAGUCACGACUUCCUUCCACACUCUGUGACCCGCCGACAGCGACAGGAAGUGAAAUGCACUGUUAGUUUGAAUAAACCUGCAGGUUGCUCUGGGUUUGAACUUUGCUGGAAACGACACAAGUACACAACUCAAC